rnacentral:sRNA from 1 species
UACAACGAUUUUGCAGGAAGACAGCGUAAGAUGCUGAUUUUCGUUCGCGGGUAGUAUUACUCCUGAAGGAGUAACAAUUAUUGUCCCGUAUCAAACAGGCACAAAAAAAGCGCCCGCAGGCGCUUUUUUAUGAAA